AUCACCGACAGGCGUCGGCGGCAGAAGGACGAGACGGACAACUUAUCGCACAGGGCCAGUGACUUCUUGGAAGGGAUGGCGCCCAUGUCGUAAAGCUUCUGGAGGAGCGCGUCGGUGAGCUCGAUUCGCUCUUUGUCGCGGGGAUCCAUCUGCUUCAGAAUGUUGACGAGCUUGGUGACCAUGCCGCAGAGCUUGUUGUACUUCUUGUAGUCGUCGCGAUCUUGCAGGUGGUACCUGCGCAUCACCUCGACCUCGCGGUGGUUGUGCUCGUUCUUCCAUUGCAGGAAGUUGACCUUCUUGAGGAGCUUCUUCUCGUGGUGCUUGAGCUGGCGCAUCG
rnacentral:lncRNA from 1 species